GCUUUCUCAAUAACAUUCAAACAUGCCAUAAAGCAACAUGCAAUGUAAUGCUUCAAAAUGCUUUUAAAACUUUUAACUCACUUAGAAUAGACAGACUAACAUCUUUAAGGAUCUUGCUCUUGGUAACUCAUGUAAGUAGAUGGUUAACAAUUAAAGACAGCGUCACUGAUAAAUUUUGUGGUGCAUCUUGGAAUCUAGACCGAAAUCAACUUUCUCGGCCA
rnacentral:misc_RNA from 1 species